rnacentral:misc_RNA from 1 species
CCAAAAAGAGAAUGCUUUAACUCAUUACUAUAAAGAGGCAGGCACCUCUUUCCACAGUUCCAUCCAUUUUCAAACUGUGUCUCUCACUUCACAAAAGACAAGUGCUCACAACAAAACUAAAUGAACCAUGUUCUAUAACUCAAUUUUCUUGCUUUUAUCAGAUUCAACUGGUUGAUCAAAUUACUCAACACAAAUACGAACAGAAGCAUGUUACAGGCCACUUCUGAGUUUAACCUUUCCAAGCCCCUACUUCAGUGAUGAAUUCUAAACCUGAGGCUGAACCAUUCGCUUGAAAAACAACACCUGUCCCAAGUAAUCAAAUGUCUGCAACACUUGCCAUGUAGAACACAGUUAUUUGUACAUGUCAGAAAUGACUGUUAUAUAAUUCAGAAACGAAGCAGAAACGGACAUCAUAUGCAUUAUUCAAUAUUCAUGGCUCAGUCGACUAAUUACAAAUACAGAAGCUUACUAUUUCAAUGUUUGCCAACUUGAAUAUAUAUUUCUAUUCCUUUCUUAUUAUUGCUUUAUGUGCAUACAUGCUGGACAAUUGAGCAGCAGAGCUCACGCCCAAGAUUUAUGUUUGAUGACCAAAUUGAGCCACGUUACUUUCAAUUUCCCUGAUGUCCAUUUUAUAUACCAUUGCCCUUAUCAUCUGCUCCAUGUGAAAAAUGGGAUUUGAGUCCAAUCCAACACUGGUAAUAAUCACGAUCCACAAAUGGGGACUCAACUGCCCACAGGCAGAUUCUGGGGAUUAAACAUGAUUCAAACAUGAAAGCCAUUGUAUUGGUGAUUUUAUAUGGGACUGCAUCAUUCCCGCGUCCAAUGGUAGUCUGUGAAGCAAAUACAGUGUUUUUAGAUCAUGACAGUUUGCUGAAUUGUUAGACAGUUAAACAUUUUGAAAUGCAGCAGCGUAUGGACAUUGAAAUGAGAGAUACUUCUUAAAAUUUAUACUAAUCACACAAAAGAAACUAUUGAUUUAGAUUAGCACCACACCCCAAGAAAAUCAUUUAGCAAUAUGAGGUUUCUACUGAAUUCAUCCAUCGUCUGAGAACCUCAUAUGUCUUCGUAUCAGGACCAUGUGGAGUCAUGCAGCUAUGAAGACUUGCACCACCUGGGAGGAAACCAUCAGCUUUUGCCUCGUAUGCACCAUAAAUCAGGCCCAUAAAUUCACUCAUACAAUUGCGAUGGUAAUAUGGAGGUCGGAAAGUAUGCUCGGCAACCAACCAUCGGGGAGGAAAAAUGACAAAAUCAAGCAAUGCCACUCCAGGCUUAUCAGUUGGUGCUGUCAGAACUGUGUUUAUUGAUGGAUCACUAUGAUCAAUCAAAACAGUAUUAUAGGGGCAAAACUUUUUGAGAUCAUAUUUAUAUGGAACAUAAUUACCAUGCCAGGCAACUACAUUGAAGGGAGAAAAAUCCUGUUUUGCAGUAAAUAGUUCUCCACCAAACUUUUGUAUGAUAGUGUAUCCAGGACAAGAACCCUCCUCAAACCAGGCCUUGGGAACAAGAAAAUCCCUUGAAGCAGCAAGGCCAUUAGCACCUAUUGGCCCAAGAUCAGGAAGCUGAAAAUGGGCACCAAAAAUCUCAGCAACAUAACCACGUGACGGGCCAUCUGGCAAAUCUACAGCAAAACGGAACCCUUGAGGUAAUACAACAAUUUCACCAGGAGAGACUUGCAGCUUUCCACAUUCGGUAGUUAUCCAUAACCCUGUACAACUAGGGAAGAGUAUCAGUAAUAAUAUCUCAAGUUUUUAAUUCUCAAGCAUGUCUUGGUAAAUAAUGCAUUACACAUGCACAAGGAGAAAUUAGAAAAACAAAGUUCCAGUAACACAUGAGAUAUAAGAAGCUAUCAGAUUCUGAGUAAGCAACACAAGUAACUAAUGAGGACACAGAAAUUGACACUCUUGUGAUUUGGAAAUUUAAUACAGUGUUUGCACACCAAAACACAAUAGAAGGUAAAGCUUGCACAAGAAUUGAGGAAUUUAUUAGCAAUAUCAUUUCAACUUGCUUGGGCAUGUUAUCAUGUUAGCAUAAGAAUUUAGAAAUCUUUUGGCAUCAAACGCAUAUAGAAGUAUGUUGAGGUGGCUUCAACUUGGCAUGUUAACAUGCCCAGCCAAGUUGAAUCUAAAGCCUUCCAACCCAUUUUGAUCCUCUUCCUUCAAAAUGGCAGCAUGUUUGGAAAUUAGGCAGCUUUGAUUGGACCUUAGUCAAUAAGUCUAAUUCCCAACCUUCCCAUUCUUGUAAGCAUGCCAAUUUAGCACCAAUUCAGCAUAAACAAACAUCUCAAGGUAUGAUUCCUACACCUGAAUGCAAUUGCUACCAAUUACAAAUUAUCAGAUAAAAUUGAAAAUUUUCUCCAAGUUAAGGAUUUAUGGGACCAAUACCCCUUACCAGUAUUAGAGCUUUACACACCAUAGUCAACAAAGUUCUUUUAACAGAAAACAGAACAAGAACAUUUAGCUAUUUCAACUCCAGACUCCAGAGUCUCAAGAGUUUUAGCCAAUGGUAAAUUCAAUCAUUGUCCUCCUACAAUUAUCCACUACUUCACAAAUAUACCAAUCCAUACAAAGGUGACUUUGUUUUAUCUAUUAAAAACAUGAACCAAACAAGAAAUCUGUUCACUCUGCACCAAUUAAGAACAUGCUAAUCUUCAUUGUUCAUACCAUAUUUCUUAAAAAUUUAAACCAAAUGUAACGAACUAAAAAUUCGCUGUUGAAUCGGAAAAUAAUGACUGCCAAGUCACUCACUUCCUUGUUGGGGAACUAUCAAGAAGUCACCAUCAGCGUUGCAGAAAGCACAGUUGUCCAUUGAUUUGUUAGCUGUGUACAUGUGAAUAGCAUAUCCAUGGCGAAGAAAGGAGCUACCAGCCCCACAAACUGUGUAGAACCCAUCAACAAAAUCAGUUGGGGAGUCGGGGAUAUCCACAGGCUUCCACCGUAGCUGAGUAGGCGUUGUACAACUGUUUGUCUUGUCAAAUUCGCUCACUAUCUUCCCAUGACUUGGAACCCGUGGCAUAAAUGGCUCAUGGGUAACCGAUGGUUUAAUUCGAUAUAGCCAACUGCGUUGAUUAAGCUUGCGAGGAGAAGUGAAAGAGGACCCAGAGAUCUGCUCAGCAUAAAGACCAUAAGGACACACGAGCGGGCUAUUCUGGCCAGCAGGCAAAGCUCCAGGGAUGGCCUCAGACUCGAAGCUGUUGGCAAAUCCUGAUUGGUAAUCGCAGUCAUCAAAGGGGAAAUAACAGCCAUCGGAUUUUGUGACGACUUGUUGGUGGCGGUGAAAGUUUGUGUUCUCCGUGAUUGUUUGAGUAUUCUCCAUGAUUGAGCGAGUAAAGGAAAUGGUGAAUCUGGUAGGUGUUGAUGAGAAAGAUAUACGAAAGAUGGCGAAGAGAGAAAAUGGAGGAGG